GGGAGCGUGUGAGGGAAAUCCCACAGGUUCCCCUUGAUCGAUUCAGGGCGCCCCUGGUCAGAGGUAGGGUGACCAGAUAGCAACUGUGUAAAUUUUUUGUGGUAAAAAACCCAUUUCUUCAGAUGCAUAUAAAAACGGGACAUCUGGUCACCCUAGUCAGAGGGGAUCAGAUAAUCGAGGCUGAGUUCAUGUGGAAUUUCAUCCAGUAAUUCCCACCUCCAGCCUAUACAAAUUCUGCUUGAACCAGAACACAUUUUUUAAAGAGACAUCAGCCUCGAUUUAAAGACUUCAAGUGAAGUAGAAUCCACCACAUCUCUUGAUCAGUGAAAACAAGUGAAUAUUUCAAAUCUGAGGGGUUCUCAGCCUUGGAAAAAAUAGGAAUCCCUGCUGUAUGGAAAAGGAUCUCAGCAAACACUUUCUACAUGCUCCAUAUAAGCAUCGUUGGAGCAACUCUGUCACAAGAGAAGCAGUCCAGCCCCCUCUACCCAAGGAGCAAGAUGGCAAGUGAUGACUCUGGGUUGUGUAGAGUAGGAAUAUGGACCGGGUUUCCUACACAGCAUGGCUCAUGUGGUUGGGUUGGCAAAGUUAAUGAGGGUGGGCAGGGGAGAAGGAUACUGUGGAGUCGUGCACUAGCUAGUGCCUUGAUACUCAGACUGAGGCUUGGGAGCUGCAAAUGUCUCUUUAAUGUGUCUCCUGGAGUUCUUUGCAGCACAUAUUAAAACACUGAUUUAAUUAUUAACCAAUCAGGAUGCUUUUACUGUGUUAUUA